UACGGAAGGGGCUAGCGGUGUUCGGACUUACUGGGCGUAAAGAGCGCGUAGGCGGCUUACCAAGUUGGGGGUGAAAUCCCGGAGCUCAACUCCGGAACUGCCUUCAAAACUGGUAGGCUCGAGUCCGGAAGAGGGGCGUGGAAUUCCCAGUGUAGAGGUGAAAUUCGUAGAUAUUGGGAAGAACACCGGUGGCGAAGGCGGCGCCCUGGUCCGGUACUGACGCUGAGGCGCGAAAGCGUGGGGAGCAAAUAGG
rnacentral:rRNA from 1 species